UACGGAGGAUGCAAGCGUUAUCCGGAAUUAUUGGGCGUAAAGCGUCCGCAGGUGGUUUUGAAAGUUUGCUGUCAAAGCGUGCAGCUCAACUGCAUAUCGGCGGUGAAAACUACAAGACUAGAGUUUGGUAGGGGUCACGGGAAUUCCCAGUGUAGCGGUGAAAUGCGUAGAUAUUGGGAAGAACACCAGCGGCGAAAGCGCGUGACUGGGCCUGAACUGACACUCAUGGACGAAAGCUAGGGGAGCGAAAGGG
rnacentral:rRNA from 1 species